rnacentral:lncRNA from 1 species
UGUGUCUCUUGGAUUUAUAAGAUGGCUGCUCCUUUCUGUGCUACAGGGGAUGACUUCACACCCAUGGUGGAGGUGUGGGGGGCAAAUAAUGAGGGAAUAAUGGGCUUCGAGGUCUCAUGACUUGGGAGUCAUCUGCUGGCCCCUUGUCCUCUCCAGCUGAUGAUCCACGGGGAACUAGACCCAAUAAGUGAUCAAAGAGAAAGUGUCAUCAUCCUGAAAUCUUCCUUAGGCUGAGCCCUUGCUGGAGACCAACCAAGCUGAGAUCAGGAUCUGAUAAACAUCUCAAAGCAGGGCCAAGUUUUGACUUUAUGGAUCGAACAUAUUCCCUUGUGCUGUGCUCUGGGGAGGAACCUGUAAGACUUAUUGGCUCCUUAGAAUAUUCGCACAAAUGAUUCCUCUGCCUGGAAAGAUUUUACCCCUCAUAUUUGUAUUGCUGGCUCAUUGUCACUGAGAUCCCUGAUGUCAUGCAUGGCAGAACUCUACUUUAAUUCUCUGCGUUUAUCACCAUCUAACUUGUGUGUUUGCUGGUUUGUUAUUUUCUACCUACUUCUCCCUGUAGAAGUGUUUGAAAAUGUUCGAGAUGUAGAAGGUUAUGCUCAGCGCUAACAUUCUCGGAGCCUGGGAUGAGAGGACACAUGGAGUCACACACUGAAUGGCUAAGUAUUUACAAUUAUCACUCAUGCUAAAAAAACUUUUAAAUAAAAUUAUAUUGUAGCUAUACCUUCGUUUAUUGUUGUUGGUGCUGUCGAGUCGUCAGUCAUGGCUCCUCAUGACCCUGUGUACAGCAGAACAGAAUCCUGCCUGGUCUUUUUGUACUAUCCUUUGACCUUCCAACACUCUAUCAGAUAAUACUCCGCUGCUAUUCAAAGGAUUUUCAUGGCCAAUUUUUUUGGAAGUGGGUGGCCGGAUCCUUCUUCUGAGUCUAUCUUAGUCUGUAAACUCCACUGAAACCUGUCCACCAGGGGUAACACUGAUGGUACUUGAAAUCCCAGUAACAUAGCUUUCAGCAUCAUAGCACCACGCAGCCACUACAGUAUGACAACCCACAGAUGGGUGGUGUGGUGCCCCGACUGGGAAAUAAACUCCCAGCAGUGGCAGUGAGAGCACUGAAUCUUAGCCACUAGACCCCCAGGGCUGGCUCUAUACCAUCAUGGUGACAAAUAAUGUAUUUUUAUAUGCAUAAAUAUUUGUGAAAUAUUAAAAGUGACUUUAGUCACCUUUAGUUACUAAUUACUGUUACAUAUGUCUGGGUAUUCAGUGUGAUGAGGGUGGCAAUAUUUGGAUGUAAGUGACAAAAUAAAGACAUAAUUCAUAAAUCAAUAAAUUAUUUUUCUUGCCAUAAUUUCAGCAAAAUCUCUAAUUUUAUAAUAAAAAUUGUCACAUAAUUUAUGAUCUGUUGCAAUAAUGAC